AAAUUGAAGAGUUUGAUCAUGGCUCAGAUUGAACGCUGGCGGCAGGCCUAACACAUGCAAGUCGAACGGUAACAGGAAACAGCUUGCUGUUUCACUGACGAGUGGCGGACGGGUGAGUAAUGUCUGGGAAACUGCCUGAUGGAGGGGGAUAACUACUGGAAACGGUAGCUAAUACCGCAUAA
rnacentral:rRNA from 1 species